rnacentral:rRNA from 1 species
CUCGUACCUUUUGCAUCAUGGUCUAGCUAGUUUCAUCAGGCAAAACGAAUUUUAGUCUGAACCCCCGAAACUAGGUGAGCUACUUCGAAAUAGUUUUAAGAACAAACCCAUCUCUGUAGCAAUAGAGUGGGAUAAUUUCCAAGUAGAGGCGAUAAACCUACCGCACCUAGAGAUAGCUGGUUACUCAAGAGAGAAUAUUAGUUCAACCUUAAGCUUCUCAAUUAAAAGAAAAACAAAUAAAGCUUAAGAGCUACUUAAAUAAGGCACACCUUAUUUAAAAUAGGAUACAACCUAGAAUAUUGGGUAAUAUCUAAAAUGAAUUACAGGUGGGCCUAAAAGCAGCCACCCAUUAAAAAGCGUUAAAGCUUAACUUUCUUUAUACUUAAAUAUCAUUAUAUAUUUUUAACCCAUUAUUACUAUCGAGUAACUCCAUAAGCCUAUGGAAAUUAUUAUGCUAGAACUAGUAACAAGAAAUUAACUUUCUCCAAAAUGCAAGCCUCAGCCACAAUAGAUAUACUACUGGCAAUUAACGUUAAUGAACACAUUAUAGUAACACAACAAGAAAAACCUAUAAUCUUUAACGUCAACCUUACACUAGCGCACUCAUGGAAAGAUUAAAAGAAAAAGAAGGAACUCGGCAAAUCUUAACCCCGCCUGUUUAC